rnacentral:lncRNA from 10 species
UUUGGAGCAUUUUUGUUUCUAUCUGAUUUCUCCAGAAUUUGGAACUAUUUGUGAGUAUUCUUAACUUAUGGUAAUAUAGUUAUGUGCAUAAGUGCAACAAGAAACUGUUUUCAGGCCAGGAGUGGUGACUAAUGCCUUUAAUCCCAGCACUUUGGGAGGCCAAGGCAGGUGGGUCACCUGAGGUCAGGAGUUUGAGAACAGCCUGGCCAACAUGGUGAAACCCCGUCUCUACUAAAAUACCAAAAUUAGCUGGGUAUGGUGGUGGGCAUCUGUAAUCCCAGCUACUUGGGAGGCUGAGGCAGGAUAAUUGUUUGAACACAGGAGGUGGAGGUUGCAGUGAGCCAAGAUCGUGCCAUUGCACUCCAGCCUGGGUGACAGGAGUUAAACUGCAUCUCAAAAAAGAAAAAAAAAAAAAAAAAAAGAAUCUGUUUUCAUUUGUAACAGGACAUAAUUGGAGAAACUGGUUAUUUGACCAAGACUUUAACUGGAAUGGUGUGCUCUCCUUUAAGGAAUCAAACUUGAGUUAUGGAGCCAAUAAAGCCCUUGGAAAAACUGGCCUCAUAUUCUGUGUACGCAGUCCCUGUACAGGAUUUCUGACCUGUGCUAAGUAAAGAAUGUCACUUUCUGACAGGCCCAGAAGCCUCAGGUUUAUCUUGGAACCUCAAGAGGAGAGGAAAUAUACCCAACUCAUAGAUAUUUGAUGGCACGAAUCCAUGGCUGGGCUCAGCUUUUAAAAAGUUUUAUCUGAGUUUUGUGGUUUGCUAUAGCACUUGACAAGUAGUAACAAUAAGGCUUAGCAUUUAAGAGAAGUAGCAUUGAUUAAAAUUUUUAUCUCUUUAAAAUUCUCUCAUGAA